UCAGCGGCGCACCUACAGAGUGAGAAGAGAUAUUUUCGCUGAGUACGACGAUGCUGAGUUACUGAAAAGAUUCAGAUUGGACCGUGCUGGUAUUGUUGCAGUGACUGAUAUAGUGAGAGACAAGCUGCAAAGUAAAACUGAAAGAAAUAGAGCCUUGACCCCUGAGAUGGUGGCCAUCACAUUACGAUAUUUAGCCACAGGAAAAAUGCAACAGUGCAGUUGUGAUGAUUUUGGAACAACGCAGCCCACUAUCAGCCGUGCAAUAUCACAGACAAUUGAUGCACUGGCUGACCCAGAAGUAAUCUGCCAGUUCGGGGCUUUCCCUCACACCCAGCGUGAAGUGCAGCAAAAACAGGCAGAGUUCAUGCAAGUAACUCAGUUUCCCGGUGUUGUGGGAGUGAUUGAUGGCACUCAUAUAAGAAUUGUGUCUCCUCAUGUCGAUGAACAUGUAUAUGUGAACAGGAAACGCUAUCACAGCAUAAAUGUGCAAGUAGUAUUUGAUGCUCACUAUAAGAUUCUUGACAUUGUGGCAAGGUGGCCUGGCUCAGUCAACGAUGCAAGAAUACUAGAUAAGUCAGCACUCAAACUGAUGUUUGAGGAACAACAUGUACCUGCAGGAUGCUACCUUCCCGGGGACAGUGGCUAUCCCUGUAAGCAGUGGCUCCUCACUCCUUACCUUCGCCCUCAAACUGUUGCACAAGCUAAUUAUAACAGUUCCAGUACCUUACGAUGCAGCCGAGGGGACUGACGCCACCACCACCACUGCCACCACCGCCACAACAAGGGUUAUUCGAGUGGGGAACAUGCUUCAGGUGUUGCCCCAAGAUGCCUCAGCCCCGCAGCCCCACUUCCCCAUGAUAGUGCAGGCAGGGAAUGUCAUACAGGUUGUUCCAGCUGACAACACGCAGGUAUUAGGGGCAGAAGUCGUUGGAGUUGGUCGGGUCAUGCAAGUGGUCGGAGUCCCAGGCUUUCCCCCGACCCCAGCCCCAGACCCCUGCCCCAGCCACCCCUCUCCCUGUGACCCCUGCCCAGUCAUCCCUCACCCCCUCCUGCCCCCAUGCGGUGCUGCCAGCGGGGGUGAUGGGAGGUGGAGGUGGGCCACACACACCUGGGUUAGCUGUGGCUUGGCUUAUCUCCCUCCUCAGCAGCAAAUCCCGAGGAUCAACGAGGACAUGGUGGACCCAGAGAUUGCAGCAGCAGCGAGAGAGAGAGAGAGAAGCAAGAGAGGAGGGAGAGGAAGGAGAGGAGGAGGAGAGAGAGGGAGGCCAGGAGGGAGGCACGUCAGAGAGAGAGGGAGAGGAAGAGGUUGAUUCUGUUACAACAACAACUGCAACAACAACAACAGUUAGUCAGUGAGGAGGGGGAGGGGCCGUCCUCUGAUGCUGAGGAUGAGGUAUUGUUCAGGGAGGCCAUGUCGGAGGUGCCGGUGGUGGGGUCGCCAGUUCCGGAGUACGAGGUGGAGGAGGAAAAGGAAGAGGAGGACGAGGAGGAGGCACGGAUAAGGAAGAAGAAAAGAUUAUUAGCUGUAGCCCUCCCUCCAGCUGAUAAGGGGAUAAGCCAUAGUAAGCCACAGCUUACUAUGUUCAACAGAUGCCUGAAGGAAGUGUGUGUAAGGGAGGAUAAAGAGAUCAUGCUGGCCUAUGCAGACGAUGUCGCUGUCGUGACAGGAAGCCAACAAGAUCUUCAAGAGGCCAUGACAAGAUGGAAUGAUGUUUUAAAUAGGGAAGGAAUGAGAAUGAACAAACAAAAAACUUAUUUACUAGUGGACAAGCAACAAGUGAUGGUGUGGCUCUGAGCCACUGUAGUAGGGAUGUUAUGGUUUAAGUGUAGGAAGUUGCAAAUGCUCACCUAACAAUUGCACCUUAGUAGAAAAACACAAACAGGAAGUUUAUGCAAGUUUUGAUCCUUAUAUAAAAUGUUGUAUUGCAUCAAACCUCCAUACAUUACUGUCUCUAUCCAGUAUGAGACCGGUGUUCAGGAAGCACAAGCAUGUGCUGAAUAACAAGAAGCCGGCAUUGGUGAAGGUGACAACAUUUCAUCUAUUUAUACAUACUUUUUAUUAUUAAAGCUUAUCUUAUAAUUAUUUCUGAAGAGAUUGACUAAUUUUUGUAGUAUUUAUGACUUAGAACUAUGAUAAAGCUAUGAAUUGAUAUAAUUCCUGAUUUGUUUUAUCUUUUCAUUAUCCUUCCUUUGUUAAUUGAGCAUUUUAUAUUACUUAGCUUAAAAAUGCAAGAACGGUUCAGAAGUAUCCAACCUUGGGCUAAGGGCCAAAAUUAUGGUAUCAUUCAAAAUGUCCUUCAAAGAAAGCCCUCUGUAAUCCAACACACUUAGCCCAUUAAUCCUUCCAUUUCUCAUCAAUUUGUUCAACAUUCAUAUUUUUCCCUUAUAGGGUUGAACAAUUUUCAUGGGUUCAGAGCAAAAGGCUUCCUCAUUCCUCCCCAAGGUACUCUCGGAUGGUAAGCAGGUUUGACUCUGGAGCAAACCUGACCAAGGGCUACUGCCCAAGGCUACAGAGGUUCCUCUCCCUGAGGCUGAAUGCACCAUGUGAGAUGGUUCUGUUAUGUGGAUGAAUGUCAUGGUGGAUAGCAGUGCCACCACAUUCCUACAAUCAUCCAUCACUCCACUGCUCAAAUGCUUCUGCAACCAAUGAUAGGUAUGCUGCCACAUUCUGCAUGGUCUCCUUGGCUCUCAGAUAAGGAUACUGUCAACAGGUUUGGGAUUGCCAAAAAAUCAUAAGGAGCUAUGUCUGAAAAGUCCAGAGAGAGAGAGAGAGAGAAAGAAUGAGCAAGAGAAAGAGUAGGAUGAAGCAAAGGAAGAGUCAAGAUGGAGGAAGAGAGAGUAGGACAAGAAAAAAACAACAAAUAAAUCCCCUACACGUCUUGUCUCCAUUCACACAAGCCAUGAAAAAGCUUGUCCAUCCCUGAGUGCUCAGAAGCAGUGUUCCACUGAUGAUGUGGAAACUUGAGACACCCAAUCAUUUAAUGGGCUUUAGUAGGUUUUGUCACCAGUCUUCUGUGUGUCACUGACUACAUUUUGAAAUUUUUAUCUGUUCUAUUUAAUUUUGUGUGUAUGUACACAAUGUUUAUGGUCAAUAAACUAUUUAUAAAACUAUUUAUCUGUGUGAGUAAGAUAAAAGCAGUUAUUGUUAUUAUUAUUAUUAUUAUUAUUAUUAUUAUUAUUAUUAUUAUUAUUAUUAUUAUUACACAUUUUCCUCCUUGUAUUUAAAUAUUAUUAUUAUUAUUAUUAUUAUUAUUAUUAUUAUUAUCAUGAAUUGUUCUUGUUUAUAAAUAAAAUACUGUAACUGA